rnacentral:rRNA from 1 species
UACCAGCACCCCGAGUGGUCGGGACGAUUAUUGGGCCUAAAGCAUCCGUAGCCGGUUCUACAAGUCUUCCGUUAAAUCCACCUGCUUAACAGAUGGGCUGCGGAGGAUACUAUGGAGCUAGGAGGCGGGAGAGGCAAGCGGUACUUAGUGGGUAGGGGUAAAAUCCGUUGAUCCAUUGAAGACCACCAGUGGCGAAGGCGGCAUCCUGGACCGAGAUUGACACUGAGGAGCGAAAGCCAGGGGAGCAAACGGG